rnacentral:rRNA from 1 species
AACGAACGCUGGCGGCAGGCCUCAUACAUGCAAGUCUAACGGGUGUAGCAAUACAUCAGUGGCGCACGGGUGAGUAACGCGUGGGAAUAUGCCCUUGACUACGGAACAACCUCGGGAAACUGAGGCUAAUACCGUAUAAUGUCUCCGGACCAAAGAUUUAUCGGUCAAGGAUUAGCCCGCGUCUGAUUAGGUAGUUGGUGAGGUAACGGCUCACCAAGCCUACGAUCAGUAGCUGGUCUGAGAGGACGAUCAGCCACACUGGGACUGAGACACGGCCCAGACUCCUACGGGAGGCAGCAGUAAGGAAUAUUGGACAAUGGGGGAAACCCUGAUCCAGCCAUGCCGCGUGAGUGAAGAAGGCCUUCGGGUUGUGAAGCUCUUUUACCCCUGACGAUAAUGACGGUAAGGGGAGAAAAAGCCACGGCUAACUUCGUGCCAGCCGCCGCGGUAA